GGCUCACCUCACCUUGCAAAGCCUUGACACUGAAGAAGAAGAUAUUUUCCAUCUAGUGGAUGAGCUGAAACAUGCUUCUCUCCAGCCUUCUGAAGGUGGUCGUGGCUUCACUGUGUUUCGGAUUCAGUAUUGCCCAGGAAGUAACUCAACACCAACCACCAAUGUCAGUGCAGGAGAAAGAAACUGUGACCCUGGAUUGCACAUACAACACCAGUGAUACAACUUAUAGUCUGUUCUGGUACAAGCAACACAGCAGUGGGGUGAUGACCUUCCUCAUUCGCCAGGACUCUCAUAACAAGCAAAAUGCCACAAAAGGCCGCUACUCAUUGAAUUUCCAGAAGGCAAGCAAAUUCAUCAAACUUACCAUCUCAGCUUCACAACUGGAGGACUCUGCAGUGUAUUUCUGUGCACUGAGGGAGCCCACAGAAUAA